rnacentral:rRNA from 1 species
CGAUCCUAGCUUGCUAGGAGGCGUCGAGCGGCGGACGGGUGAGUAAUGCAUAGGAAUCUGCCCGGUAGUGGGGGAUAACUUGAGGAAACUCAAGCUAAUACCGCAUACGCCCUACGGGGGAAAGCAGGGGCUCUUCGGACCUUGCGCUAUCGGAUGAGCUUAUGUCGGAUUAGCUGGUUGGUGAGGUAACGGCUCACCAAGGCGACGAUCCGUAGCUGGUCUGAGAGGAUGAUCAGCCACAUCGGGACUGAGACACGGCCCGAACUCCUACGGGAGGCAGCAGUGGGGAAUAUUGGACAAUGGGGGCAACCCUGAUCCAGCCAUGCCGCGUGUGUGAAGAAGGCCCUCGGGUUGUAAAGCACUUUCAGCGAGGAAGAAUGCUUGUCGGUUAAUACCCGGCAAGGGAGACAUCACUCGCAGAAGAAGCACCGGCUAACUCCGUGCCAGCAGCCGCGGUAAUACGGAGGGUGCGAGCGUUAAUCGGAAUUACUGGGCGUAAAGCGUGCGUAGGCGGCUUGAUAAGCCGGUUGUGAAAGCCCCGGGCUCAACCUGGGAACGGCAUCCGGAACUGUUAGGCUAGAGUGCAGGAGAGGAAGGUAGAAUUCCCGGUGUAGCGGUGAAAUGCGUAGAGAUCGGGAGGAAUACCAGUGGCGAAGGCGGCCUUCUGGACUGACACUGACGCUGAGGUACGAAAGCGUGGGUAGCAAACAGGAUUAGAUACCCUGGUAGUCCACGCCGUAAACGAUGUCGACUAGCCGUUGGGGUCCUCGAGACCUUUGUGGCGCAGUUAACGCACUAAGUCGACCGCCUGGGGAGUACGGCCGCAAGGUUAAAACUCAAAUGAAUUGACGGGGGCCCGCACAAGCGGUGGAGCAUGUGGUUUAAUUCGAUGCAACGCGAAGAACCUUACCUACCCUUGACAUCGUGCGAACUUUCCAGAGAUGGAUUGGUGCCUUCGGGAGCGCACAGA